AUGCUUUUGCCAUCAUGGCAAACACAAGGCCAGGGCGGUUCGGUUUUCACGUUAUUCUUGUCCCGCGGUAAAACACAUGACAUCACCAGCAGCUGAUGGGUAUCGCCUGCCAAGGCUGUGACACCCUAUCAUUGGGCAUCCGGUGUGCGGUGAGACAAACAAGCGUCAAGUCCUCGCCAAGCCAACACUGCGCUGCAGGUGGGCGGGCCCAAGUCAGCUCACACCCCGCUUGCUCGCUCUCUGCCACUGCGCCGCUCUCGACAACUUCUUGCAGAUGUCCUCGCCAGCCUUUUCGCAUGCGUGGGAGCCUGGGUGAGAACAACCGCAUGAGUUUGAGCCAGCGAGUAUCUCUGCAGAGAUCUCGGGUGUCAACCUGUUGGUCAACAUCUUGAGUGGACGCUGGACAUGGACAAAACUAUGGCAGCUAGCGUUCGUGGUUCCAGGGACCGGAACGGAGAGACUGCACCACUGUGGCUGGUGGCCGGUGGCCUUAUCACUCCCGCAGCAACAUCACCGACUCUCCUGCGCACCCCCAGGGGACUCGUCGACAAGAGCGCGAGGACCGCAAAGCUAUUGUAAAACCAUCUGCAAAUCCACUUGGUCACACUUAUGUUCCGAGGCUUGGUGGGGGAAGUCGGCAAUCCCGUUUCUCACUUCUCCUCAACCUGAUCACUGACGCAUCUUCAAACUCUACAGAUGGCCGUCUCAUCUACUUUCUGUUGCUCUUCGUCGAGCAGAUGACAAAGCACCGUCAGCCUCGGAUCACCCGGGAGGGUCGACGCCCAACUCAACACCCUGCCGGAGACCGGAGCUAAGCGAGCUGGGCCGAAACGCUUUCUGGAAGGGUCACCUGGCAGCAGCCCACUCUGCGGGGGGCAUCAGACAGCGAACCAUUGAAGUGCGAUCUGCCCUACCUGACCAGAUGUGUCUCAGCGGUCCAAUCAUAUAGGGAACCAACAGCUCCAAAACUGCACCUGCUCUCCAGAGCACCCACCGGUCAGGCAGGGAACUGGUGCAGCGACAGGGAGGGUCAGGGAUGCUGAGCCGGACCCUAGACGUCCGUCUGGAGGCUGCGGGGACCCUCACGCUCCACCAAUUAUUAAUUAACUAAAUUAAUAUUAAUUCAAUUCAUUCUUAAUAUUCAGUUUUAUUGGAAAUGUUUCCACUUCUUUCCAAACUGGUCAUCAGCAAAUCUGACAAUUUUUCGUAUUCAAUUAAGUAAAUGUUCAUUUUUAAUUGAAGCACUUGUUUCUGCAGGCAUUGGCUCCAAACGCCGUUGGUGGUUUCUCUUCCUCUAAACGAGGUCCAGCCUAGCUCAGAGACACUUCCCAUUCAUGGGUUCACCUAUUUUUUAUCUUUUACCAUGUGGUGGAAUUGCUGCUUUGGGUCAUUGGUUUGAGGGGGGUGCGUUGGCGCAGUGGGUUGGACUGGGUCCUGCUUUCCGGUGGGUCUGGGGUUCGA